rnacentral:rRNA from 1 species
GAUGAACGCUGGCGGCGUGCCUAAUACAUGCAAGUCGAGCGAACAGACGAGGAGCUUGCUCCUCUGACGUUAGCGGCGGACGGGUGAGUAACACGUGGAUAACCUACCUAUAAGACUGGGAUAACUUCGGGAAACCGGAGCUAAUACCGGAUAAUAUAUUGAACCGCAUGGUUCAAUAGUGAAAGACGGUUUUGCUUUCACUUAUAGAUGGAUCCGCGCCGCAUUAGCUAGUUGGUAAGGUAACGGCUUACCAAGGCAACGAUGCGUAGCCGAUCUGAGAGGGUGAUCGGCCACACUGGAACUGAGACACGGUCCAGACUCCUACGGGAGGCAGCAGUAGGGAAUCUUCCGCAAUGGGCGAAAGCCUGACGGAGCAACGCCGCGUGAGUGAUGAAGGUCUUCGGAUCGUAAAACUCUGUUAUUAGGGAAGAACAAAUGUGUAAGUAACUAUGCACGUCUUGACGGUACCUAAUCAGAAAGCCACGGCUAACUACGUG